AGAGCGAACGCUGGCGGCAUGCUUAACACAUGCAAGUCGCACGGGCACUUCGGUGUCAGUGGCGGACGGGUGAGUAACGCGUAGGUAUCUAUCCUUGGGUGGGGGACAACGGUUGGAAACGACUGCUAAUACCGCAUAAUAACUGAGGUUUAAAGGCGCAAGUCGCCUGAGGAGGAGCCUGCGUACGAUUAGCUAGUUGGUGGGGUAAAGGCCUACCAAGGCGACGAUCGUUAGCUGGUCUGAGAGGAUGAUCAGCCACAUUGGGACUGAGACACGGCCCAAACUCCUACGGGAGGCAGCAGUGGGGAAUAUUGGACAAUGGGCGAAAGCCUGAUCCAGCAAUGCCGCGUGUGUGAAGAAGGUCUUCGGAUUGUAAAGCACUUUCGACAGGGACGAUGAUGACGGUACCUGUAGAAGAAGCCCCGGCUAACUUCGUGCCAGCAGCCGC
rnacentral:rRNA from 1 species